CCUGCUGAAAAUUAAGGGGGAGGGGCGCCCCAUGUGUUGGCAGAAAAGGCCAACAACCUUGCGACACGUGGCAAAUGAGCUUGGAUAUAAAAAAAGAAACCAAAUACCCAGCAAGUAUCUCGUUCUCCCCCUAUCGUUUUUCCAUUUCUUUCUUUAUAACAGCAAAAAAUUAAUCUUCUCUCAAACUUUUUUCUUUCUUCAAACCCAAAUCAAGUCCCUCACUCAACAAGAAGCAUCCUGCAAACAUGAACAAAAGACAUCAUUGAGACAAAGGGGAAAACAAAAAAGUCGGUGCAGUGGUUAUCGCGAUCGGAUUGGAGAUGGAGGGGUGCAGACGCCGGGAUGGACACGUGGAUUCGUGGGGAGGCGUGGUUCCUUGCGGUGGUGUUCGUCGUCUUCCGGCAACAGAGGAGAGGAGCUCGCGGUUGACGCGGCUGAGGGGUGAUGUGGUGGUCCGAGCGGCGGUUCACGUAUGAUUCCGGCGCGGUUUCGGUUUUGUUAUGGAUUUUGCUGGUAAAAAAUAUGGAGAUGAGAUAUGUCGGGAGGUUUUUUACAGUGUAAUUGUGUGUACGUGCAUAUGGAUGUCCCUCCCAUGAUUUUUUCUUCUGAAUUUAUAUGCUCGCCUUUAGUUUGGAAUUGAGUUUUGGAUCUCACCUAGGAAGUUCAAAUUGUAACUACACAAUAUGUAAAGACCAAAUGAGUUUCUUCUAUUUUGAUUUGAUCUUAUGGAAAUUUGGGAGAUAAUUUGAAA